UUAAAAUAUUUAUAUUUCAUAGGAUAUCACGAGUGACAACUGCUUUGAAACUGAAGAAGAUACAGAAGUAUUUAUAUGUUACUUUUAUAUUUUUUUUUGUCUUUUUUAUUUUAUUAUGUUUGUUAAGAAAUAUUUUAACAGCUGCUUGCAAAGUAUUUUUUCUUUUAUGAUAGUCAUCAGUUUUUAGUUAUGAUGGAGAUUUUAAUGGUCAUAGAUCAGUUUUAGACUUGUCGUUUGACCAAUUUUAUUCACUUGAAAUGUAUCCAGCUUUAUCUGAAACAUUCGAGUGUUGAUUUUGUGGUAAAUAAAGGUCUACCGAAUCAGAAUUAUCUAAGAGCAGUUAUAUAUUCCACGCGGUCAUUCGAGUAAAGUCAGCAAGCAAAUUGGAGCUGAUACACUUAUUUUCAAGAAGAAUUAAUGUUGUUUAUUUUUUAAAAUAAAAAUUUAAAUAA